GAGUUUGAUCCUGGCUCAGGACGAACGCUGGCGGCGUGCUUAACACAUGCAAGUCGAACGAAAAGACGGAAAGAGCUUGCUCUUUCCGGAAUUGAGUGGCAAACGGGUGAGUAACACGUAAACAACCUGCCUUCAGGAUGGGGACAACAGACGGAAACGACUGCUAAUACCGAAUAAGUUCCAAGGGCCGCAUGGCCCAUGGAAGAAAAGGUGGCCUCUACCUGUAAGCUAUCGCCUGAAGAGGGGUUUGCGUCUGAUUAGCUGGUUGGAGGGGUAACGGCCCACCAAGGCGACGAUCAGUAGCCGGUCUGAGAGGAUGAACGGCCACACUGGAACUGAGACACGGUCCAGACUCCUACGGGAGGCAGCAGUGGGGAAUCUUCCGCAAUGGGCGAAAGCCUGACGGAGCAACGCCGCGUGAGUGAUGACGGCCUUCGGGUUGUAAAACUCUGUGAUCCGGGACGAAAAGGCAGACUGCGAAAAACAGACAGCAUUGACGGUACCGGAAAAGCAAGCCACGGCUAACUACGUGCCAGCAGCCGCGGUAAUACGUAGGUGGCAAGCGUUGUCCGGAAUUAUUGGGCGUAAAGCGCGCGCAGGCGGCUUCCCAAGUCCCUCUUAAAAGUGCGGGGCUUAACCCCGUGAUGGGAAGGAAACUGGGAAGCUGGAGUAUCGGAGAGGAAAGUGGAAUUCCUAGUGUAGCGGUGAAAUGCGUAGAGAUUAGGAAGAACACCGGUGGCGAAGGCGACUUUCUGGACGAAAACUGACGCUGAGGCGCGAAAGCGUGGGGAGCAAACAGGAUUAGAUACCCUGGUAGUCCACGCCGUAAACGAUGGAUACUAGGUGUAGGAGGUAUCGACCCCUCCUGUGCCGGAGUUAACGCAAUAAGUAUCCCGCCUGGGAAGUACGAUCGCAAGAUUAAAACUCAAAGGAAUUGACGGGGGCCCGCACAAGCGGAGGAACAUGUGGUUUAAUUCGAUGAUACGCGAGGAACCUUACCCGGGCUUGAAUUGCAGAGGAAGGAUUUAGAGAUAAUGACGCCCUUCGGGGUCUCUGUGAAGGUGCUGCAUGGUUGUCGUCAGCUCGUGCCGUGAGGUGUCGGCUUAAGUGCCAUAACGAGCGCAACCCCUCUCUUCAGUUGCCAUCAGGUAAUGCUGGGCACUCUGGAGACACUGCCACCGUAAGGUGUGAGGAAGGUGGGGAUGACGUCAAAUCAGCACGGCCCUUACGUCCGGGGCUACACACGUGUUACAAUGGCCGGUACAGAGGGACGGUGUAAUGCAAAUUGCAUCCAAUCUUGAAAGCCGGUCCCAGUUCGGACUGGGGUCUGCAACCCGACCCCACGAAGCUGGAUUCGCUAGUAAUCGCGCAUCAGCCAUGGCGCGGUGAAUACGUUCCCGGGCCUUGUACACACCGCCCGUCA
rnacentral:rRNA from 1 species